rnacentral:rRNA from 1 species
UACGUAGGGGGCAAGCGUUGUCCGGAUUUAUUGGGCGUAAAGAGCGUGUAGGCGGCCAGAUAGGUCAGCUGUGAAAACUCGAGGCUCAACCUCGAGAUGUCGGCUGAAACCAUCUGGCUAGAGUCCGGAAGAGGAGAAUGGAAUUUCCGGUGUAGCGGUGAAAUGCGUAGAUAUCGGAAGGAACACCAGUGGCGAAAGCGGCUUCCUGGUCCAGCACCGACGUUCAGGCACGAAAGCGUGGGGAGCAAACAGG